UGAUCACCUGGCACUCGGUCAGCCUCACCUGCCGGAACAGGAGCUCCCGCAGCUGCGUGGGAGGAAGAGGAGGAGGAGGAGGAGGAGAGGGGUCAGAACAUCCCAAAAACACCCCCGGCACCAUCCCAGUCCCCAGAGGGUGGCGUUGAGCGCGCGGCUCAGGUUGGCGUUGGUGGCGCUCAGGGUGACAAUCCUGCGGUAGUGGCUCUGCACCUGCUCCUCCAGGAGCCUCAGGUGGGUGUCGGUGCCCGCCUGGGCGUUCCCGUACACCAUGAAGAGCACGAGCCCCAGGAUGAUCAGGAAUUGGAUCAGCGAGGUGAAAAGGAAAAUGUAUUUGAGGCUCCUUCCUGCCGUGCCGGAUGCUCCCGGGGACCCGCCGGGUUAUCAGGGCACAGCUUCUGCUGGCAUUGUUGUUCCUGAAGUGUGGAAGGGGAAAAAAUAAAUGGGAUUUCAUUCCCUCCAUCCCA